GAUGAACGCUAGCGGCAGGCCUAAUACAUGCAAGUCGGACGGGAUCCAUUGAUAGCUUGCUAUCAAUGGUGAGAGUGGCGCACGGGUGCGUAACGCGUGAGCAACCUGCCUCCAUCAGGGGGAUAGCCUCUCGAAAGAGAGAUUAACACCGCAUAAUAUCAACAGUUCGCAUGUUCAGUUGAUUAAAUAUUUAUAGGAUGGAGAUGGGCUCGCGUGACAUUAGCUAGUUGGUAGGGUAACGGCUUACCGAGGCGACGAUGUCUAGGGGCUCUGAGAGGAGAAUCCCCCACACUGGUACUGAGACACGGACCAGACUCCUACGGGAGGCAGCAGUAAGGAAUAUUGGUCAAUGGGCGGAAGCCUGAACCAGCCAUGCCGCGUGCAGGAUGACUGCCCUAUGGGUUGUAAACUGCUUUUGUCCAGGAAUAAACCUAAAUACGAGUAUUUAGCUGAAUGUACUGGAAGAAUAAGGAUCGGCUAACUCCGUG
rnacentral:rRNA from 1 species